rnacentral:rRNA from 1 species
CUGCCUCAGAGUGGGGGACAACAGUUGGAAACGACUGCUAAUACCGCAUAAGCCCACGGGUCCGCAUGGAUCUGAGGGAAAAGGAGCAAUCCGCUUUGAGAUGGCCUCGCGUCCGAUUAGCUAGUUGGUGAGGUAACGGCCCACCAAGGCGACGAUCGGUAGCCGGACUGAGAGGUUGAACGGCCACAUUGGGACUGAGACACGGCCCAGACUCCUACGGGAGGCAGCAGUGGGGAAUAUUGCACAAUGGGGGAAACCCUGAUGCAGCGACGCCGCGUGGAGGAAGAAGGUCUUCGGAUUGUAAACUCCUGUUGUUGAGGAAAAAACGGAUGGUACUCAACAAGGAAGUGACGGCUAACUACGUGCCAGCAGCCGCGGUAAAACGUAGGUCACAAGCGUUGUCCGGAAUUACUGGGUGUAAAGGGAGCGCAGGCGGGUAUGCAAGUUGGAAGUGAAAUACAUGGGCUCAACCCAUGAACUGCUUUCAAAACUGUGUAUCUUGAGUAGUGCAGAGGUAGGCGGAAUUCCCGGUGUAGCGGUGGAAUGCGUAGAUAUCGGGAGGAACACCAGUGGCGAAGGCGGCCUACUGGGCACCAACUGACGCUGAGGCUCGAAAGUGUGGGUAGCAAACAGGAUUAGAUACCCUGGUAGUCCACACCGUAAACGAUGAUUACUAGGUGUUGGAGGAUAGACCCCUUCAGUGCCGCAGU